GUCUGUGUUUGGGAUUAUGCUACUCUGUUACUGUGGUUACAGUGUGGAGGGCACUCAUUAAAUUCGAUAUAAAAGCGCCUCUCGGAAAAUAGGGCAGUAGGACACAACCUCAUUUUCUAUAGUACACAACAAUUACUGGUCAAUCCCCAAGUUUAAUUUGAAUGUAUUGAUAUAUAGCUAAAGAGUUUAUAGCUGCUAUUCAGGUAAAGUAUUUGGAGGACCACAGUUAAUGAUUUGCAUUUAUACAGCUUUAUUGAAGAAUAUUGUUUGUGAAUGUAAAAUCGCAAGUCGGGCAAUCUGCAAGGCCAGUCUCUCUCUACUUGGAACUGUGAGAUGGGUGCAGGGAUUCGGAUAUCCUGAUCUCUCUCCAGUCUCUUCUCACACACAAUCAGGUAUUUAACCCCUUCAAUCACAUUCUGAACCAGCUGGACCUACAUACAACACGCAAACACACAUAACCUAUUCUUUCUCCACUCUCUACAACUGCCUAUUAAAGCUGAAUAUUAUGAUUGUCACUGUCACUGCAUUCUAUUCUGUGGUGUAGUGAUGCAGUGUCUUACCUCUGACUCACCCAGUCUGGCCAGGUUAGAGAUGUCAGAGGUUGUGCCACAGUUGCGGAGUCCACGCCGUCCAUACCUCGCUUCUGCAGAAUCAGGUUGUCCAGCAUCUUCUGAAAACGAGCAUCCCAGUAAAAUAAACGACAGAAAAAAACGAACAGAGAAUUUAGGAUCCUGGAAUUUGAGAAGGACAGCUCAGCACAGGGAUCCCCUUAGCACAGUUUCUUCAUACGGCUGUUCAUGUGUCAACCCAUAGGUGAGUGAGGUGGUAAAGGCCAGACCUUGCUAAAACGAGGCAGGAUGCCCUGAGUCCAGUGCCCAGGUUGGAGGGGCAGGUGAGGAUGUUUCCCAGCCUCUCGCUCCACAUGAACUCCCAGCCUUUCUCCAUGAUCAGCCUCUUCACCUGGUGGUGAUGUCAACAACAGCUCAUAAAAAGACACAACAAAGCAUGAAAGGUUUAAGUGUCAUUUAAGACACAGUUAACGUGUGGGUGUAGGCAAUGAAUCCAAUCAGUGAUUCUGCUGGGCUCACCUCCUCAAGUCCCCUGUAGAACCUCUCAAACACCCUCUUCAUGUUGCUGCCCUUCUCCAUCUAGAUGACCCGGGUGUGGUCCUCUUCGUUGAUCCACAACAGGAAGUUCUCCUGGUUGUUGUGCCUUUCCAGACCAACGGGUUAUCUCCAUAGGUUUCAGCGCUUCUAAAAUAGUUUCUGGGGCUAAGCUGCCUGCCAUCCUGGAUCUCUACACCAGGCAGUGUCAGAGGAAGGCCCUAAAAAUUGUCAAAGACCCCAGCCAUCCCAGUCAUUGACUGUUCUCUCUACUACUGCAUGGCAAGCGGUACCGGAGUACCAAGUCUAGGACAAAAAGACUUCUCAACAGUUUUUACCCCCAAGCCAUAAGACUCCUGAACAGGUAAUCAAAUGGCUACCCGGACUUUUUGCAUUGUGCCCCCCCCCCCCAACCCCUCUUUUUAUGCUGCUGCUAGUCUCCGUUUAUCAUAUAUGCAUAGUCACUUUAACCAUAUCUACAUGUACAUACUACCUCAAUCAGCCUGACUAACCGGUGUCUGUAUGUAACCUCGCUACUUUUAUAGCCUCGCUACUGUAUAUAGCCUGUCUUUUUACUGUUGUUUUAUUUCUUUACUUACCUAUUGUUCACCUAACACAUUUUUUGCACUAUUGGUUAGAGCCUGUAAGUAAGCAUUUCACUGUAAGGUUGUAUUCGGCGCACGUGACAAAUAAACUUGGAUUUGAUUAUCUUGUUUGGUUUUAGAGUUGUGCUUUUAUCAAACCAUUAUACUUAUCAAAUGCCCUGUGCCUCUGGCCAAUCUCUGGCCAUUCCUGCACAGGUCAAGAGGGUGGACACUGGUAUAUCGAACAGGAAGUGAUCCUGUGAACUCCAAAAACAAGUGUUAUGCAUCUCAGUGAUAGAAUAAGGAAAUUAAACAAAUAAAAACAAUUCUCCAAAUCAGUGUGUUGCAGACUGUGUUUUCCUCACAUGAAUGAGCAGCUGCUGCUCCUUGUCAGUCAUCUGUACUGUCCCUUGAGUUCCCCCUGCAGGACGUUGAGGGCGUCCACCACCAGCUCCACCUCCCGGCGCUCCGCCCAGCAACAGCCAGGGGGCAGGCUCAGCCCUCAGAUGCUCAGGCCCGUCCACGUGACGAUGACACGUGGUGCUCAUCAAACUGACCUGCCUGGAUCUGACAAGAGACUAUGGUAAGUACUGGCUCACUUGAACAGUUUAGAAUGUAGAUAUGUAGAAGGUCUGGUACCUAGUCAACUGGGUGGUUGAUGCAAUGCCAUUUCUAUACUUAUGUCCAUGGACAUUCCCAUCAUUAUGUACAUUGGUGGCAUCCAGGUCUGUGGUGAGAGAUUGUGUAUAAAUGCAUGGCCUUAAAUAAAUGAAACCUUGGUAACCAACAGUGAUCACAAAGCAAAGGCUUCUGUGUUAUUCUUUCCUUUCAAUACUUCUCCUCUCUACACACAAAAAGGUGGAAUAUUGGGAAACUCUGCUAUUAAGAGUCUGUAGAGCACUUGCCUUCACUUCAAGGCAGAAUUGAAAACUGCAGUUGAUCCCCUUUCAUCUAGGUUUUAUCUGUAUAACACUUUUAUAAGGAAUGGGUGACGCUCCAAUAUGUGUAGUAGCUUUAGAAUAUCUAUUUCACGGUGCCCGCCAUUAGAUUUAAAAAAUACAUUGAAGUUCCAGCAAGAUAGGUAGUAGGCAUACCAAUUCACUGUGAAAAGACACAGACCACACAGGCCGUUGUGAUCCAUCCCCUGAUAGGACUCCUCGUCUCCGGCUACCAUGCCAACAUACUUUAUGAAGGGGUGCCCAGGGUUGUCCAAUCCUGUCUGGAUAACAUUGUCCAUAGGCACACAGCUUAGCAUAGAAAGAAGGUAUGAGGUGACUGGCCUUGCAGUUGCUGUGUUUGCGUAAAUCAGGGAACUCUGCACCGUGAGAGAAAUUGAAGGUUGGUAACACUAUUGAAAUAAGUACAGACAAAAAGGGGGUACAAUGAUAGCACACCCCUAACGAAUGAAUAGGUGUUGGAGGCUGUGGACACCGGGAUAUGUCACUGUCUGUCUGGGAUAACUGGCAGGGUACAGCCUCCUGAUUUGAGCUCCUGUGGUGAUGAGCUCUCUGUUCAGAAAAAACCCUGCUGUAGCAAAUGACCAUACUCCACUAAGAGACAGGACUCCUAUGUUGCGCUUCCUAGGUGAAAACAGCUUGAAGAAACUGCUUGCCAUUUUCCC
rnacentral:lncRNA from 1 species